UACACAUGACUUACGACUACAUAAUAUAAUCUAAUUACACAAUGAUUUAUGAUUAUUGAUUGUGUAAUCUGCAUCGCUACUCGCAAACUUCAACACGGUACACCACAUCGAUUUGUUAUUUAAACUACCUAUUUCAGAUUCUGACCUAUGAACGUAAUAUUAAUUGGUUGUAUAACGAUGAUUUUUUUUUACUUCUAGUGUGCGCCAUACCUAGGUAUAUAGUAUAGCAGAAAAAUGCUUCAGUCUUUAACCUUGAUGGCCAUUUCUAUAAUAGUAGCGCAUUGGAUCUUAUAGGUAGGAAUGGCAGUUGGUACUUAGGGGACAAGAAUAUUGAAAUGUAUUUCUCUCCUCGAACAGUUUUAAUAAUUUUAUUAUUACCUACUAAAAAAAUAAAAACAGAAAGCAGAAACAUUCGGUUCGCGUCACUCUGAAAUGUUACAUUCCACAUUUCCACUGUUAACCCGUAUGUGUUCGAGUACCUAUAUCAUCCUCAAAGCAAAAUUGCAUUCAGCAGUUUUUGUAUAGUAACCAUUAAUAAUAGAGAGCAUAGACUUUCAGUUAAAAACAAUCAAUUAUGGACUGACAAUUUUUAUUUUGUGAUUGUUAAUUUGAUUACAUUAAUCCACCCUCAGAAAGAGAUCGUAAAGACUGGAAAGUGGAAAUGAAUAAAGCUAUUUUUUUGCAAUAGAUAAAAUUAAUAAUUUAUCUCUAUUCUCCAAGAACUUAAUUUUUAGUUGUUUUUGGUGAUUUAUGGUUAAUGAAAUGCCGUGCAGUUAGUUUAAUUUAUUUAUUAAGUUAAUUGAUUAAUUCUAGAUAUACAUUAAGUCUAAUUCACAAUAUUUAUUUUAAGAUUGUUUUAUCUUUAAUUUCAUGGGUGUUUUAACGCCCAACCUCCCACCCUUACCUACGCUCAUGAUACCUAACUAGGCAUUUUAUAUAGUCGAAUAUUCUUUUGCAUCAUUUUUAUGGAAAUAUUAAUCCACUCUGAGUAAACAAUAAUACUAUACUUAUUAUAUUUUGUAUUUUCUAGAAAUAUAAAUUUAAAAGUAUUUUAAAUACUUCAUUUUCCUUUGAGGCAUAACACAAAUACUGAAUAACAGUAUAUACUGUAUAGUACGUCGUUUAUUUAUAAAUUUAUAUUAUACAGUGGAAUUUAUGUUAUUAUUUCAAUAGAUAAUUUUAUCUUGUUUGUACAUUAAGAUAUGUAAUUUGCGUUAAAUUGUUAAUUAUUUUUAACUUUAAUAAAAAAUGAUCAAUUAUAAAUAUUAUUAAAAGCCUGCUAUAAAGAAACAUUAUUUUUUAUCUAUUCAUAAUCUAAAUUUUAAAAUGUGUGAAAAAAUUGUUUCUUAUAACUAUAAUAUUAGAAAAAUAAAGAAUACAAUUGAGGGGAUUUGUGGCUUAUCGAAAGUUCUCCAAGUGGUCCGUAACACCAAAAAGUUUGGUUUUUUUAAUUUAAAAUAGGUAGAACCAUAAUAUGUUGUAAUAGCAUAUUUUUUAAUAUGAUAAUUAUAUAUACAUGACUACUGGACCGGCACCCUGUCUGGAAUCUGCUAAUCAGUAAUCCAGCGAUAUUAUUCCCAUCCGGCUGUUGGGCGUCAAAGCCACUUGAAUACGUCUUGAUCAUGUUACACAAGUCAGUCGACUAGUCGAGUAUGUAAGAACGACCGAACAGAACCUUUCUUGUAACAGAACAUCAAUUUUUUAAUUUUAGUAAUAUUCAAACUUCAAGCAUAAUCUGAUAAAUUGUAUAGUUUUUAUUGUGGUAAUAAGUAUGACUUUUAUUAGUAAUUAAAAAGUUUCUCUUCAUA